CACUCCCUCUGUUUAUUGAAUUUAUAUUUAUUUAUUACCCAAAUUACACUAAUGAAUCCCCCAAAUCCCUCUUUUCUCAGAAUCUAGGGUUUUCAAAUUCAGAGCACCUGGAUCCAAAUCCAGUAAAACUCUAGCCCCCCUUUCAAAAUUUAGGGUUCUAAGAGUUGCGGUUUCCUUUGAUAUUCCACGAAUUUGCUUUUGGUUCGCAGAUUAGGGCUUCGCUUGUUCUGUUUGACUCUCAAUUCCUUAAUUCGGAAGUUUUUUUCUUCUCUGGAAAGAUUUUCUGUUUUCUUUGCGGCGUUUAGGGAUUUGAUUCAACUGAGAGUAUCUUUUUGUUGUCGUGUUUUUGAUUGACGGACUACAUCGUGAAAAUUUGAAAUUUUAGUUUUUUGUUAUAAUGACUAAGGUUGGCGAGGAGGAAAUUGUAUAUGAGAGUGAUCCCGAGGAAGAGAAGCGAUUGCUUGUAAGGAGAAGAAGAGAAGCUGCGAGCGACGACGAGGAAGGUGAAGGAGAAGAGAAGCCUAGAAAUAAUCGGAGGGCUCCAAUUCACUCCGAUGAAUCUGACGAUCAGGGUGGCGCUGCAGACUAUGACGAAGACGAAGAAGAGGCAUUAAAUGAAGAGGAAGAUGAAGAUGGUGUUUUUGAAGAUGAAGAGGAAGAAGAGGUUUAUGAGGAAGACGAAGGGAAAGAAGGGAAUAAGGAGGGAGUAGGAGGCAACGGCAAUGCUGGGGUUGAGGUUAGGGAGAAGGAAAUCGAGGGGAGGAAGGAGCAGGUGGGAGGAGAGGAGAAAGUGGAGGGGGAGGAAGGGGAAGAGGGGAAGAAGGGGAACCAGCCUUUUGCGGUGCCUACUGCUGGGGCUUUUUACAUGCACGACGACAGGUUUAGGGACAGUGCUGGUGGUCGGCACAGGCGAACCUUUGGUGGAAGGAAUUUAUGGGAGUCCAAAGAUGAUAGGAAAUGGGGGCAUGACAAGUUUGAAGAGAUGACAUUGCAGGAAAGGCAUUAUGAACAGGGAAGGAGGACUGCUAAAGGUAAUUUUCGGGCCCGUGGUGGUAAAAGUCGAGGUCCAGAAUGGGGAUAUGCCAGACGCAACAGGUCUAAAUCAUUCAGCGAUGGUAACAAUCAGAACCAGGCACCAAAAGUUGUGAGAGGGAGAGGACCCAGAAAGUUUGAAUCUACUUUCAAGAGUCGCAGAGAGAGGCCUCCAGUGCAAAACAAACAGCCUGGGAAACCCCUUGAGAAACAUUCACAUGGUAGUUCAAAUACAGAAUCUGAUGAAUUGCCCGCUAGAAAACAUUCAAGCUUGAGCUCUGCUUCUCCUCCCUUUUAUCCUUCCGGAUCUUCAAAUAAAGACAUCACUUCAAGUCAAAAAAGGGAUAUACACGGUGCAAGCACAAGCAAGAAUCUUCGCACUCCUGUUAUGGAUGAGAAUUUUCCUACGCAACAACACAGUGCAUUGGUGCGGGGGAAGAAUAUAGCCAACUCUGUUUCAAUUGACAAGCUUUAUAUUGAUGAUUCCAUCACUCCGACAGCAGGAAAGCCUUUGAGCAAUAUGCAAAUGCCACCUUCUGGAUCUUCUGUGGUCAAUUCUAUUACAUCUUCACAAUCUAGGGCUCAAGGAAGGAGUGCAGCUAUGUCAAGCCAGAUGACUUACCAGGGAGCUCCGCAGCACAACCAAAUCAACAAAACCUCUCCCACUGUGCCGAUCCACUCUCUUCAGCGAAUUCCUGCUCAAAACCAUUUUCAACCUUCUGCCCAGCAGUUAGUCCAGCAUCCUAGUAGUGAUUCUCCAGUCUCUUCUCCACCAAAAACUGCUUUGUCACAAAAUUCUUCUGAAGCUGUUGAAGCAGAGACUGCUGUGGAAUCAAGUAAAUCCAGAAAUGCAUUGGCUGGAAAGGGAAAAGGCAUAAUUCAAGGAAAUGGAAGAGGAUCUUUUCUUUAUGGUGGGACACAGGUUGUGGGAGCCACAGGGAAUAUUGGUGUUGGGCAUGGCGAUCAGAACUUCUCUGGAACACCAACCUUUUUGCCAGUUAUGCAAUUUGGUGGUCAGCAUCCUGGUGGUCUUGGAGUUCCUGCGGUUGGCAUGGCAUUUCCUGGAUAUGUUGCUCAGCCUCAACUUGGCUUAGGGAAUUCUGAAAUGACAUGGUUACCAGUUCUGGCUGGUGCUGCUGGAGCUUUAGGGGCCACAUAUUGUUCACCUUAUAUUUCGGUUGAUGGUGCUUAUCAUGCUCGCCCAUCUGGGAAAACAUCUUCAUUGGGUUCUUCAAGCAAAGAAAGUAGUACUAAUAUACCCCAUAAUGAAUGGAAGAAUACACAGAGAUCUGAAUUUGCAAGUGAUGAAUUUGGACAGCGACAAAAACCUCGCAGAUACUCAGAGAUGGAUUUUAAGCAGCCAAGUACAAGCACUUAGAUGAAAUGGAGUGUGUUUGAAUAAGCAGAUAAAGGCCUUUAUGAGGCCCUUUGUGAUCUAUAGCUUUUAUUCUGGAGGGCUUUGGGCCACAGUAUGUCCCAGGAUGUUCUAGUUAUGUAACAAAAAACCUGUUCUUGCUGCAGUCAAUUGGAGAACAUAACUGUGGCUUGGCAGGUGGCAUUUUGUUGUUUAAACUUGUGGUUUUCUUGUGGCUUGGUUUAUUAGUGAAGCUUGUGAGAAAUGUAUGCGGGCUUCUCCAAAAACUAUAUACGAAAAAAAUUGGUAACCAAAAAAAAAAAAAACAAGAAUUAUUGUGCAGAAGGUGUUUGGUCGGUGACUUUGAGUUUUGCUUUUACAAAGCAGCUGGUAUUUUAGAAUUUCUAUCCGUCUUUUAUGUAUGUGGCUGGUUGAUCAGUAAAGUCUGGUUUCGAGGGUUCCAUUUCUCUACGCUAGAUUUUUUUGUUUGGUUCAGGACUGCCUUCCUGCUGAAAUCAUGCGGGAAGAGAUUAUUUGUUUAGCGGACCCGUAUUUGUGGGGACAAGUAACUCUUCUAAGCAGUGGAAUGAGGUUAUGAUUUAAAAUA